GACGAACGCUGGCGGCGUGCCUAAUACAUGCAAGUAGAACGCUGAAGAGAGGAGCUUGCUCUUCUUGGAUGAGUUGCGAACGGGUGAGUAACGCGUAGGUAACCUGCCUGGUAGCGGGGGAUAACUAUUGGAAACGAUAGCUAAUACCGCAUAAAAUGGAUUAUCGCAUGAUAAUCCAUUGAAAGGUGCAAAUGCAUCACUACCAGAUGGACCUGCGUUGUAUUAGCUAGUUGGUGGGGUAACGGCUCACCAAGGCGACGAUACAUAGCCGACCUGAGAGGGUGAUUGGCCACACUGGGACUGAGACACGGCCCAGACUCCUACGGGAGGCAGCAGGAGGGAAUCUUCGGCAAUGGACGGAAGGCUGACCGAGCAACGCCGCGUGAGUGAAGAAGGUUUUCGGAUCGUAAAGCUCGGUUGUAAGAGAAGAACGAGUGUGAGAGUGGAAAGUUCACACUGUGACGGUAUCUUACCAGAAAGGGACGGCUAACUACGUG
rnacentral:rRNA from 1 species